UAGGGAAUAUUGGGCAAUGGAGGGAACUCUGACCCAGCCAUGCCGCGUGCAGGAUGAAGGCGUUAUGCGUUGUAAACUGCUUUUAUAUAGGAAGAAAUAGUCCUUGCGAGGAAAGUUGACGGUACUAUAUGAAUAAGCACCGGCUAACUCCGUGCCAGCAGCCGCGGUAAUACGGAGGGUGCAAGCGUUGUCCGAAUUUAUUGGGUUUAAAGGGUGCGUAGGCGGUUUAUUAAGUCAGUGGUGAAAGACGGUCGCUCAACGAUUGCAGUGCCAUUGAUACUGGUAGACUUGAGUAUGAUUGAGGUAGCUGGAAUGGAUAGUGUAGCGGUGAAAUGCAUAGAUAUUAUCCAGAACACCAAUUGCGUAGGCAAGUUACUAAGUCAUAACUGACGCUGAGGCACGAAAGUGUGGGUAUCAAACAGGAUUAGAUACCCCUGUAGUCCCUGAGCGGGCUGGCAAGGCGCAU
rnacentral:rRNA from 1 species